CAUGCAAGUCGAACGUGAAGCCCGGUACCUAGUAUUGGGUGGAAAGUGGCGAACGGGUGAGUAACACGUUGGUGACCUGUCCCGAGGAGGGGGAUAACCGUGGGAAACCACGGCUAAUACCCCAGAUGUUUAAGUGCUUAGACAGCUUAGACUAAAGCUCCGGCGCCUCGGGAGGGGCCUGCGGGCUAUCAGGGCUAUCAGCUUGUUGGUGGGGUAAUGGCCUACCAAGGCGAAGACGGCUAGGGGGCGUGAGAGCGCGAUCCCCCACAAUGGAACUGAGACACGGUCCAUACUCCUACGGGAGGCAGCAGUGAGGAAUAUUGCACAAUGGGGGCAACCCUGAUGCAGCAACGCCGCGUGAACGAUGAAGGCCUUCGGGUUGUAAAGUUCUUUUCUGAGGGAAGAUAAUGACGGUACCUCAGGAAUAAGUCCCGGCUAACUACGUGCCAGCAGCCGCGGUAAAACGUAGGGGGCGAGCGUUAUCCGGAUUUAUUGGGCGUAAAGCGCACGUAGGCGGCGCCGUAAGUUGGACGUGAAAGCUCCUGGCUCAACUAGGAGAGGUCGUUCAAAACUGCGGCGAUUGAGGUUGAAAGAGGAGAGUGGAAUUCCCGGUGUAGUGGUGGAAUGCGUAGAUAUCGGGAGGAACACCAGUGGCGAAAGCGGCUCUCUGGUUCACACCUGACGCUGAGGUGCGAAAGCGUGGGGAGCGAACGGGAUUAGAUACCCCGGUAGUCCACGCUGUAAACGAUGGAUACUAGGUGUAGGAGGUUAUUUACCCCUUCUGUGCCGAAGCUAACGCGUUAAGUAUCCCGCCUGGGGACUACGACCGCAAGGUUAAAACUCAAAGGAAUUGACGGGGGCCCGCACAAGCAGCGGAGCGUGUGGUUUAAUUCGAUGAUACGCGAAGAACCUUACCUGGGUUUGACAUGUUGGUAGUAGUGAAGCGAAAGUGGAACGACCCUUCGGGGAGCCAUCACAGGUGCUGCAUGGCUGUCGUCAGCUCGUGUCGUGAGAUGUUGGGUUAAGUCCCGCAACGAGCGCAACCCUCGUUGCUAGUUAUACGUGUCUAGCGAGACUGCCGGUGAUAAACCGGAGGAAGGUGGGGAUGACGUCAAGUCAGCAUGGCCCUUAUAUCCUGGGCUACACACACGCUACAAUGGCCGGUACAAUGGGUAGCCAAGCCGCGAGGCGGAGCCAAUCCUACAAAGCCGGUCUCAGUUCGGAUUGCAGGCUGCAACUCGCCUGCAUGAAGUCGGAGUUGCUAGUAACCGCGCGUCAGCACAGUGCGGUGAAUACGUUCCCGGGCCUUGUACACACCGCCCGUCACGUCAUGGAAGUUGGCAACGCCUAAAGUCAGUGAGCUAACCCGAAAGGGAGG
rnacentral:rRNA from 1 species